AGGUUUGAUCAUUCCAACACUAAUGCAUCAGAUUUCAAAACUCAAUAGUUAAGCAUGCUUGGGCGAGAGUAGUACUAGAAUGAGUGACCUUUUAGGUAGUUUUUGUGUUGGAACCC
rnacentral:rRNA from 1 species